CCGGAAAUGCUGGGUAACGACGCAGUUUGAAUGGCUUCUGAGCGUUAAUGGCUGCUGUGUGCGUGUUUGUGACUGCUGUUGCGUGUGAGUGAGUGAAUGUGCGUGAAUGCGGAAUGCGUGUGAUUUUUGUCCAAAAGCUACACACUGAUCUUAUUUGAUCUGGUCGUAGUUGUGGCCCGACUGUGUCCGGAAGUGAUAAGAAAAGCGCCUGCUUAGCCUCUGCGGCGAUGGGAAACAGGCACGAGUUCGACGUUCAGGGCCUCCACUCUUUUAAAGUUGUGGUCAGAAGUGAUGAAUUGAUCAGAUAUACUAGUUCGGAGUGAGUUUGGUUUCUUUCUAAACUCCACGAAGGACAUUGAGUAAAGAGGCGAUUCUGAUCUAA